ACGGGAGGCAGCAGUGAGGAAUAUUGGUCAAUGGACGAGAGUCUGAACCAGCCAAGUAGCGUGCAGGAUGACGGCCCUAUGGGUUGUAAACUGCUUUUAUGCGGGAAUAAAGUGGGGAACGUGUUCCCCUUUGCAUGUACCGCAUGAAUAAGGACCGGCUAAUUCCGUGCCAGCAGCCGCGGUAAUACGGAAGGUCCGGGCGUUAUCCGGAUUUAUUGGGUUUAAAGGGAGCGUAGGCCGUAUGGUAAGCGUGUUGUGAAAUGUCCCGGCUCAACCGUGGCACUGCAGCGCGAACUGCCGUACUUGAGUGCGCACGAGGUAGGCGGAAUUCGUGGUGUAGCGGUGAAAUGCUUAGAUAUCACGAAGAACUCCGAUUGCGAAGGCAGCUUACCGGAACGUAACUGACGCUGAUGCUCGAAAGUGCGGGUAUCGAACAGGAUUAGAUACCCUGGUA
rnacentral:rRNA from 1 species